GUUCUCUACUCCUACUUUCAAUGGAUCUAAAUUUUCAGUGGAUCUUUUUAGAUGAUGGAUCAUCCAACAUGAAAGGGUGUAGUGAAAGAACUUUUACUAGCGUCUCUUGAUGGAAAAUGGUACAAGUAUGCAUUCAACUCUAAUUUUCGAGCCUCAAAUAAUGAAAUAAUGAGGCAGAAUAUGAGGCAUUCGUUGCAGGAAUAACGGUUGCUAUAAAAAAAAAAGAGGGUAUUUUUCAGUGUUUUAGUCUUGCACGACUCCCAAUGAAUCGGGUUACAAAUGGCAAUAGAAUAUCGAGCUAGAAAACAAAGAAUGAUAGCAUAUUUAUUGAAGGUUAAGAAAAUGCUUGCUUCAUUUCCAAAACCCUAGGUUAAACAAAUUCCAAGAUCCCAAAGGUUCAAUAUGCCUUACUUUGGCACGAUUUGCAGCAACAUAUGAAACAAAUAUUAAGCAAUAGUACCAAUGGAGAUUCUGUUCUAGCCAAGAGAUAAAUUCGAAGAAGUUAUAGAAAUGAAACCAAGAUUGAGGAGGGGAUGUGAUAGCUCCCAAAAUAAGGAUCUUGAGAAAAUCAUUCAUUUCGGAAUUUUGUGGGCUGUAUGGAGUUAAUUUGAAGCAAUUAGGAUCUAUACCAAACAUUCAAACUUUAGAGAUGACGAAGACGCGACACUUAAUACAGAAAAACAUCAGAUAAUAGUAUAAAACGCCAUUGGCUCCAUGCACAGAGCUGGCUAAACAACCAUAGGGCGACAAUGCUGCCUCAAAUUUUAUAUAUAGAUCCCUUCAUUUAAGGUUUGCAGAAAACAGGAGGAGGAGAUUGUUGUAGCCAAUUUUUAUAAGGAGCCCUAGGUUUGGUAUGUGCCAAAACUAGUGAGAUUGUAAUCAAUUUCUUUCUUUUGCAUUGUAAUGAAGAUUAGGGCAUCAAGCUUCCAGCUUCAAUGACAAGCUAGGACCUCCAAACGUUGAUUUUGAUGUUUGUUGUGCAUUUAUUUACGAUUUAAUUAAAUUUCGAUGAAUGUUUAUGGUUUUUU